GGAUUGCCCCAGUAACGGCGAGUGAAGCGGCAAGAGCUCAAAUUUGAAAGCUGGCUCCUUCGGGGUCCGCAUUGUAAUUUGUAGAGGAUGCUUCGGGAGCGGUCCCCAUCUAAGUGCCCUGGAACGGGACGUCAUAGAGGGUGAGAAUCCCGUAUGGGAUGGGGUGUCCGCGCCCGUGUGAAGCUCCUUCGACGAGUCGAGUUGUUUGGGAAUGCAGCUCUAAAUGGGUGGUAAAUUUCAUCUAAAGCUAAAUAUUGGCCGGAGACCGAUAGCGCACAAGUAGAGUGAUCGAAAGAUGAAAAGCACUUUGAAAAGAGAGUUAAAAAGCACGUGAAAUUGUUGAAAGGGAAGCGCUUGCGACCAGACUCGCUCGCGGGGUUCAGCCGGCAUUCGUGCCGGUGUACUUCCCCGCGGGCGGGCCAGCGUCGGUUUGGGCGGUCGGUCAAAGGCCCUCGGAAGGUAACGCCCCUAGGGGCGUCUUAUAGCCGAGGGUGCAAUGCGACCUGCCUAGACCGAGGAACGCGCUUCGGCUCGGACGCUGGCAUAAUGGUCGUAAACGACCCGUCUUGAAACACGGAC
rnacentral:rRNA from 1 species